GGACUUUCUUAAAAUACAUCCUCUGAUAGCAACUAUCUCUUUUUACUUAUAGAUGAUUAAUUCUAAAUGCUUCAUGUAAUUGAGGGACAUUAUGAGAAGACUAGAAAGUUUCUCAUCAGAUAAUCCUAAGGGCUGUAACUUCUACUUGCCAUAAACAAAGUAUAAUUAAGAGUGAGUAGCAAUUGGUUUGGGGGAGUCUUAGUUAUGUAUGAAACUUUCUUUUGUUUCUCAUGAUGUAUGUAAAAUGUUUGCAGAAGGAUGGUAGAAAUUGUUACUAAUGAAUUUAGAGUGGUUUGGGAGAAUACACUGAUACUUCCUCAUUUGAAAAUUAUAAGGAGUUAAAAGGGGAACUAAGAACCAGUAGUGGCUGGCCUCUAGCUUUUCAAUACUUUGUAAGUGUUCUUGGUUAUGUUUUGAACACUUAAAUUUCUCAACAAAUGGCUAUGUCUAUAUUUAUGUAGGGGCCACUCUUGCCCUACUUGCAUGCCACUUUCACACACUUUUAACUGAAAUCGGUGUGAAUUCUGUAUGCAUAAGGGAUGUAUUAAAGAUGCGGGAUCAUUAACGCUAUAUUGUUGCAUACUAUUUUUCAUAUGCCUUACAAUAUUUUCUGGGACGUUAUUAAAAUGAAAGCAUUUUAUUGCCAAAAUAAAUCUAUGUUGUUAUUUAUAAUCUGCAUUAGCAGUAGAAAAAUAAUGUAGCAAAAACAUAUUGUACAGUACAAAAUUAUAAAAUAUAUAUUUUGCCAAUAAUAUAAAAAUAGAUUGAGGAGAAAGAAGCACAUUUGUUAUAGCACAAACUUAUAACAAAAUCCACUGUUAAAUUUGGCAGUCAUAUUUUUUAAAAGUAUGUCGAUUUAGUUCUAUCAGAUUUACUUCAUCUACCAUCUUUUUAACUUGCUGCUUGAUACUGUUCCAGCAAUUUAUUUCAUAGCCUUGCAAUCUGUGGAUGUAAUUUCUUUUGUUUUAUUCCCUUCCAUAAAGUUUAUUAAAUUUUAUUUUGUGAUAACACUCAUACUAUAUUUUCUCUUCUUAUUUCUUCUCUUUCAAUAACAACAGCAGAAAGUCACAGCAAGUGAGCUCAUAGGGCUCCUCUGAAUUUUGGACAUGUUUGAAAUUUUCGUAUUUUUCACAGCCUCAAGUCAGAAAGAUCAAUAAAGAUGUCCCAACCACAAAGAAUUAUAUUACUUAGGGAUUCUUUAGUUUGUUUUGUACUGAAUACUACUUUGAAACAUAAUUUAAAGCCAUUAGCUGUGUUUUUGUAGGGAUGGUGGGAGGGAAUAAAAAAUAAAUGUAUUAACAUAAAACAUACUAAAACAGAAAUAUGGCAAAAUGAUAUAAAAAGAUUUUUCCUACUAUUCUGAGGGCUGUUGAAAUCCCAGGCUAUUGCUAUAUCUCCAUUGACAAAGUGGGAUAAAAAAAUGCCUUUGUCAAAUAAUUUUUUUUCUUUCUUUAAAUUUUAAUUAUUUUAAUAAUGUGUCCCCUUUUAUUUUUCCUAUCUAGGUAUGUGUAGCAUUCUACAAGGCAUGCUGGGUAAAAUAUACUAUGCAAAUGUGUACAGUGCUGCAUGUUUUGUUCUCCCUCUGCUUUAGUGGCUUUAAAGAAAAAAAUGUGGUGUUAUUUUUGUGAAUAAAAACAUUUAACAAAGAAAAUGCAGAGUGCAUGCAUAGAGUAUCCUCAUUUCUAUGGAUUUGUUUUAUGGAAUUCAAAUGUGUACAAAACAACUGCAUUACUUUUUUUCUUUUAUAUAAUAAAUGAAAAAACACUGAAA
rnacentral:lncRNA from 1 species